rnacentral:rRNA from 1 species
ACGAACGCUGGCGGCAUGCCUAACACAUGCAAGUCGAACGAGACCUUCGGGUCUAGUGGCGCACGGGUGCGUAACGCGUGGGAACCUGCCCUUAGGUUCGGAAUAACUCCCCGAAAGGGGUGCUAAUACCGGAUAAUGUCUUCGGACCAAAGAUUUAUCGCCUUUGGAUGGGCCCGCGUUGGAUUAGCUAGUUGGUAGGGUAAAAGCCUACCAAGGCGACGAUCCAUAGCUGGUCUGAGAGGAUGAUCAGCCACACUGGGACUGAGACACGGCCCAGACUCCUACGGGAGGCAGCAGCGGGGAAUAUUGGACAAUGGGCGAAAGCCUGAUCCAGCAAUGCCGCGUGAGUGAUGAAGGCCUUAGGGUUGUAAAGCUCUUUUACCCGGGAUGAUAAUGACAGUACCGGGAGAAUAAGCUCCGGCUAACUCCGUG